rnacentral:rRNA from 1 species
CCUACGGGAGGCAGCAGUGGGGAAUCUUGCGCAAUGCACGAAAGUGUGACGCAGCAACGCCGCGUGCGGGAAGAAGGUCUUCGGAUCGUAAACCGCUUUCAGUUGGGACGAGGGUUACACGGUGAAUAGCCGGAGCAACUGACGGUACCUUCAGAAGAAGCCCCGGCUAACUACGUGCCAGCAGCCGCGGUAAUACGUAGGGGGCAAGCGUUAUCCGGAAUCAUUGGGCGUAAAGCGCGUGUAGGCGGUUCAGUAAGUCCGCUCUGAAAACCCCAGGGCUCAACCCUGGGAGGCGGGUGGAUACUACUGAACUAGAGUACGGAAGAGGAGAUUGGAAUUCCUGGUGUAGCGGUGAAAUGCGCAGAUAUCAGGAGGAACACCAACAGCGAAGGCAGAUCUCUGGGACGUAACUGACGCUGAGACGCGAAAGCGUGGGGAGCAAACAGGAUUAGAUACACUGGUAGUCCACGCCGUAAACGAUGAAUACUAGGUGUGGGAGGUAUCGACUCCUUCCGUGCCGAAGCUAACGCAUUAAGUAUUCCGCCUGGGGAGUACGGCCGCAAGGCUAAAACUCAAAGGAAUUGACGG